AAAAAAACCAAACCACCGUACACCCUCAUAACAGCGACAACAGAAAAUAAAGCUCAAGCUGGAGUAUGGUCUUUUAUUUUAAAAAAUAUCCCAACAAAAAACAAACAACCAACUUCGUUCCCCAACUCUUCCCACCCCCUCCCUUGCAGAGUGAGAUUGUUUUGUCUGGAAAAAAAUCCAAAGUAUAACAAGGGGAGAACAGUUAGUGCUGAUUUUCAUUUGCAUAAAUUUUCAUAUAUUUUGGUGAAAAUAAUAGACUAGUGGAGAGCGGGGCUUAGUGGAGUCAGUGCAAAGGAAAAUCUUAACAUGGAUCGUUUCGCUGGAGUUGAGAACAUGCUUUUUCCCCCCUGUCACCUUAUUAAAAUCAAAAAUUAAAAAAAAAUUCUCUAAAUCCUGGGAGUUUGAUCGGCAUCUGCCCCUGAUUUUAAUCCAACGGAGCUGCUUUUGGAACUGGCGUGUCCGGCUUUGGUGUUUGCCUGCUGAGGAAGAGGCCCACUCUUUUCUCCAGUCUUGGUAUGUGGAUUUCUCUCUCUCCAAGUAAUUCCUUAGCAUACCCUUGAAUGGCAUCUACCACACUAGAUAACUUUUUCAACUCACAAGGCUGAAACAACUUCCCUUAACUGAAAUGACCCCAGCACAGCUAUUCACUAGAAGACAUCCUCCUUGAUUUCUUGGAGGGGCCCAUAAGAUGAUUGAAGUUGUCGACAUGGACAAAAACUAAUUUGGAGCUACCAGCAUCCCGAAAAAUGUCAUAAAGGGCAUUCAUCUGUACACCCUUCCUGAUGAAACAUGCUGGAGCCCCACAUUUACAUGCUGUUCAUCCAGGACCAAGUGUGCAUGCAGCACCUGAAUUUUGCCAUCUCCUGCAUACUGUACCUCUCACUUCCAUCCUUUUGCAAAUGAUGCGCUUGAUGGCUGCAGAGGGUGAGGAUCUUGCUCUUGUGUCAUGGCUUGGCAUUAUGCCUUCAUCAGGAUGUUAGAAAAGGCUCAGGGAAAAUGGUUACAGCUAUUCUAUCACCUGAGACACUUUCCAGCAGCUCCUGCCUUUCCUUAGAAUUACCAAUCCAAGUGGUGACCUUGCCUGACCCUACUUAUCUUGCAAAACCUGACAAGAUCACAGCCUGAAGCAGUAUAGCCACAGGCUCAAUACUGGCUACCAAAGUGUCUGUUUAGUAUUUUCAAGAAACAUUGUUCUAAAGAUUUACAAUACCAGCCACAAGAUAUAUGGACAACACCAACGCACAGCUCUGACCCCUGGACAUUCAGCCCCACUUACACAGAAACUUGUGUCUCUCAAGGGGUGAACACUGAGCUGCCACAAAUUAGUGAUUCCCUACGUGCAAGCAAGUGGAUUUUAAAUACAAUUUGAUUACAUAUACUAAGACAUUGGGUAAAAGUAUUUGUAAACUCUGGUCUUGAGCUCAGAAUUCAUGGUUAGUUUUUUUUAUCGGUUGCUUUAGCAGUGGAAAGGUCUCUGCCAUUUCUGUGUAAUAUAUGGAAUUUACUUUCAGUUCGGUGUAGAGAAUUUUCUUCCCUUCCCCAUGACCAAAGCAGUCUUUCAUUAGAAGGUAUUUUUAGAUGUACUGUAAGUUUCCUCCCCAGCAAAAAUUUUAGCUGCACCAAGUGAAAGCAAAUGCACAUUUCCUUAGAUAUCUCUAAGGAUAAACACAGGUUUAAAUAUACAAAAAAUUUUAAGGGUUUAGUUGCAUAUGGGUUCAUACACCGGAUGCAUUAAGUUCUUGCAAAGUUGUGUGGGCUUUUUUCCCCUCUUCUUUUUAGAACAGCAAAGACUUGGAACAGACAUUGAGGUCCUAUUGCUCCUGUCGGAAACUUCUGUUGACUGCAGCGUGAGUUGGAUGGGACCCAGAGAAACCAAAUACAGACAAGUAAUGAUGAGUUGGCCAUAUAAGCAAGGAAAAUCACAGAUAACAGGUGCACACCAAGUACCAAUGUAUCUUUUGGGUCAUCCAGUACAUCUUCCUGACACAAUGAAGUUGUUUCUUAUGGCAUUUUUUUGUGUUUUUUCAUGCCUAGAUUAAGUUUCCUAAGUGAUGCCAUAUCUCAAGGGAGAGGUUGUGUUGCCUAGAGUAUCCUGUUGUCAGGAGAUUUUUUCUGUUCUUAACGUCAUCAUAUUUCUUCUAUUUACGUCCCUUUGCAAAUUUCCUUCUUUCCCUUGUUUGAUCUCUUUUAACUAGUGUGAUGUUGUCUUUAGUUAGCAUUAAGGAAUCUCAUAGAUAUUUAGCUCACUUAAUCUUUCCUAAUGUAGCAGUCAGGCUUCUUGUUAUUCUUCAUUUCUUCUCAUCACACAACUGCCUGUCAGUAUCUUUUUUAGUUAUGAGAUUUUAAAGAUGUGGUGCAUUUCUCUGAUCUAACAACAGAUCUGGUGUAGAGCUGAGCACCCUUAGUGUCUUGUCGCUAAAAGCCCCUCCUGACAUGUCCAGGGGUAAACUGCAAGCAUUCUGAACAGGCACACAGAUAGAGUAUCCUGCUUGAACCACUUCCUUGGUUGCCUCUUUAUUGACCCACAAAACCCUAUUAAAACAGUAACCUAGGAAUUAAAAAAAAGUACAUGGCAUUUUGCCUUUUUAAAUUUUUUUUUUAAUUUCUCAUAAUGUAAAAAGGGAGAAUAAUACAGAUAAAAAAUCUUUGAUGCUGUUGAGAUUUUCUAACUCUUGGUCAUGAACAUAACAGAUUAACAUUAUGGAAAACAUCAUCUUCCAUGACUACUUCUGAGUACUAGGAGAGUACAUUGUAGAAAGUAAUUAUAUACGUAGUGACAAGCCUAGCUCUUCACUUCAGGCAGUAAGUUCUGAUCUACAAACUACAAUACUCCUUUUGUGCUAGAUGAGAUCUUGGUUGUAAUUGACUGUCUUUACCUUUGUGUUCUGUUGGAUUGGAGGAAUAUAAUUUUAAUCUACUCUCUUUAAAUUUCCAUUAAGGAAUGUUUCGGCUACCUGCAGCCUCAUCUGAUGAUGCUUAAUGAACUCAGCUAGCUCGAUCUUCUGUGCACCAGCAGGGACUUCUUUAAAUGGGUAAACUGUGUAGAAUGUUGUUUUCAAGUUUAACGUACUUGGAAUUAACCUUAUAAAAUAAUGGCAUAUCUAAAGACAGAUUAUAUACAUAGCACAGACAAGUAUGUGUGCAUUUAUAUGUGCAUGUGUGUGUAUACAUGUGAAUAUAUACAUAAGUGCACACAUAUGUACAGAAAUGCUGAUGUUUUUCACCUUUUUGAAAUCUUUACAGCUAGUAUUAACAUGAAUGUGCCGUUAAAUUUGGCACUGUUAUACAUUUUUGUUGGAGUUUACUUCUGUGAGAUAAAAUCAUAAAGAUAAGCUGUGAAACUCGUGCAGCUGAUGACAUAAUUCUAGAAUCUCGUGAUGCUGAAUCUCAUAUUUCUAUGAGUGUGGGAUGGAUGUUCCUUGCUGAAAUAAUUACACUGCCUAUUGCAAUAUAUGUUUCCUUGUUUUUAUGUGGGCACUGAGAUAUCCAAACUAUUAAACGUAUAUGUACAAUGA